rnacentral:rRNA from 1 species
AGAGUUUGAUUCUGGCUCAGAACGAACGCUGGCGGCGUGGAUAAGACAUGCAAGUCGAACGCUGGUAUAAAGGUAGCAAUAUUUUUGUGCCGGAGUGGCGAACGGGUGCGUAACACGUGGGUAAUUUGCCGUAGAGUUGGGGAUAACCUAUCGAAAGGUAGGCUAAUACCGGAUGUGACUUCAGGGAGGCAUCUCUAAGAAUUCAAAGCCGGGGACCGCAAGGCCUGGCGCUCUAUGAUAAGCCCGCGGCCUAUCAGCUUGUUGGUGCGGUAAUGGCGCACCAAGGCUUAGACGGGUAGCUGGUCUGAGAGGACGAUCAGUCACACUGGAACUGAGACACGGUCCAGACACCUACGGGUGGCAGCAGUCGAGAAUCUUUCACAAUGGGCGAAAGCCUGAUGGAGCGACGCCGCGUGGGGGAUGAAGGGCCUCGGUCCGUAAACCCCUGUCAUCUGUGAGCAAAGCAUUUCGUCUAAUACGCGAAAUGUUGAUAGUAGCAGAAGAGGAAGGGACGGCUAACUCCGUGCCAGCAGCCGCGGUAAUACGGAGGUCCCAAGCGUUGUUCGGAUUCACUGGGCGUAAAGGGUGCGUAGGUGGCUGAGAAAGUUUGAUGUGAAAGCUCCGGGCUCAACCCGGAAAUUGCAUUGAAAACUCCUCAGCUAGAGGGAUCGGAGGGGAGACUGGAAUUCUUGGUGUAGCAGUGAAAUGCAUAGAUAUCAAGAGGAACAUCAGUGGCGAAGGCGACUUUCUGGACGAUUCCUGACACUGAGGCACGAAGGCUAGGGGAGCAAACAGGAUUAGAUACCCUGGUAGUCCUAGCAGUAAACGGUGCGCGCUUGCUGUAGGCGGAUUCGACCCCGUCUGUGGCGUAGCUAACGCGUUAAGCGCGCCGCCUGGGGAGUACGGCCGCAAGGUUAAAACUCAAAGAAAUUGACGGGGGCCUGCACAAGCGGUGGAGUAUGUGGCUUAAUUCGAUGCAACGCGAAGAACCUUACCUGGGUUUGACAUGUAAGUGGAUAAGAUCUGAAAGGGUGACGAGGUAGCAAUACCAGCUUGAAUAGGUGCUGCAUGGCUGUCGUCAGCUCGUGUCGUGAGAUGUUAGGUUAAGUCCCGCAACGAGCGCAACCCUCAUGUUCUGUUGCCACCCAAACGAGAGUUUGGAGCACUCCGAACAGACUGCCCCAUUUUAAUGGGGAGGAAGGUGGGGAUGACGUCAAGUCAGUAUGGCCCUUACGGCCAGGGCUGCACACGUACUACAAUGCCCGGCACAAAGGGAAGCAAUACCGCGAGGUGGAGCCAAUCCCAUAAAACCAGGCCCAGUUCGGAUUGUAGUCUGCAACUCGACUACAUGAAGCCGGAAUCGCUAGUAAUGGCGCAUCAGCUACGGCGCCGUGAAUACGUUCCCAGGCCUUGUACACACCGCCCGUCACAUCAUGAAAGUCGGCUGUACCCGAAGUCGCUGAGCUAACCCGCAAGGGAGGCAGGUGCCGAAGGUAUGGCUGGUAAUUGGGAUGAAGUCGUAACAAGGUAGCCGU